rnacentral:lncRNA from 1 species
GUGGUGGUGUUUACAGUCUAACACCCUGACCCAUCGUGGGAGCCCAGGGUCAAAGCCAGCAGCUGCGGGAUCGUCACACCCUUACCCUUUAAUCCCAGCGAUGCUGAGCCGGCUUCCAUCCCCUCGCUGAGCUAGCCAGCUGUCUGACUGCUUGAAAAUGGCGGAAGAGGAAGAGGGCGGCGUGGAGGAGGGGGACGUGUUCCUAGCAUUUGCCCAGGGUCCCAUUCCUCCUCGGGGGCCCGUGCGGCAGGCUUUGGACAAGAUCUUCCUCGCCUUCUUGGUCCUCUUCCUGACUCUGCUGAUGCUGGAGGCUGCUUACAAACUGCUGUGGCCCCUGCCAUGGGCCAAGUUUCAGGACUGGCUCCUGAGGACCCCUGAGGAGGAGGCAGCUCUGGUGCUCUGAGCAUCUUCAUAGACCACCUGUCCUUGCUACUGAGAAUGAGAACUAACUGGAGACUGGGAAGGCAGUGAGAUCAGAGGUGGGUCUUACCUUUUUUCUUUUUCUUUUUUUUUUUUUUUUUGUUUUUUGAGACACUGCCCCCCCCAUUCAUGCUUCUUGUCACCCCGCCCUUCUGCGCAGCACCCUUUAAUCCCAGCGAUGCUGAGCCGGCUUCCAUCCCCUCGCUGAGCUAGCCAGCUGUCUGACUGCUUGAAAAUGGCGGAAGAGGAAGAGGGCGGCGUGGAGGAGGGGGACGUGUUCCUAGCAUUUGCCCAGGGUCCCAUUCCUCCUCGGGGGCCCGUGCGGCGGGCUUUGGACAAGAUCUUCCUCGCCUUCUUGGUCCUCUUCCUGACUCUGCUGAUGCUGGAGGCUGCUUACAAACUGCUGUGGCCCCUGCCAUGGGCCAAGUUUCAGGACUGGCUCCUGAGGACCCCUGAGGAGGAGGCAGCUCUGGAACUCUGAGCGUCUUCAUAGACCACCUGUCCUUGCUACUGAGCCCAGCUCACUCAAAGAUUUAUUAUAUGUACGUACACUGUCGCUGUCUUCAGACACCCCAGAAGAGGGCAUCAGAUCUCAUUAAGGAUGGUUGUGAGCCACCAUGUGGUUGCUGGGAUUUGAACUCAGGACCUCUGGAACAGCAGUCAGUGCUCUUAACCGCUGAGCCAUUUCUCCAACCCUUAAGAGUGUAUUUUAUUUCCUUUUGAUUUCCUGCAAGUAUCAUGGUUUCAGUUUUCUUUCUGGCUGUAAGACUCCAUUGUAUGUCCGAACCACAUUUUAUCUGUUUUACGGGCCAGUUGGCUGCUUCUGUUCUUUUGCCUAUUGCAAUCGCUACAGCAAUAAACAUGGAUGUGUACGUGGUGUUCUGACUUAAAUUUCUUCAAGUAUCUAUCCAGGAGCAAUACAUCUAGGACAUGUUAGGUCUUAGGCCGUGCAUAGGUCCAGAGAUGGGUCCUGGCCCACCUCAAGCUGGACUCUAGAAGAGUCCCUGGCAGUUAGACAAAGGCCAGAAUUCCCCCAGGACCUUGUGAAACAGGCUCCUGUCUGCAGAAAGGAUGUUUCCCUUGCCUCUGGAAAAAGGACACAAGGCUCAGCAGUGUGCC